CAGAGGCCCCAAGCGUUACUGAGAAUCACUGGGUUUAAAGGGUGCGUAGGUGGCGCGUUAAGUCCGUUGUGAAAGCCCUGGGCUCAACCCAGGAACUGCUUCGGAUACUGGCGCGCUUGAGGCUAGUAGAGGUCACUGGAACUGACGGUGGAGCGGUGAAAUGCGUAGAUAUCGUCAGGAACGCCAAUGGUGAAGACAGGUGACUGGGCUAGAUCUGACACUGAGGCACGAAAGCGUGGGGAGCGAACGGGAUUAGAUACCCCGGUAGUCCACGCCCUAAACGAUGCAGACUAGACUGCAGCGGGUUACACCCCGUUGCGGUCGGAGCGAAAUUGUUAAGUCUGCCACCUGGGAAGUACGGUCGCAAGGCUA
rnacentral:rRNA from 1 species